rnacentral:misc_RNA from 1 species
CCGAGUUUACAACUCCCAAACCCCUGUGAACAUACCUAUACGUUGCCUCGGCGGAUCAGCCCGCGCCCCGUAAAACGGGACGGCCCGCCCAAGGACCCCUAAACUCUGUUUUUAGUGGAACUUCUGAGUAAAACAAACAAAUAAAUCA